GAUGAACGCUGGCGGCGUGCUUAACACAUGCAAGUCGAACGGUAAGGUCCCCUUCGGGGGACACACGAGUGGCGAACGGGUGAGUAACGCGUGGGCAACCUGCCCCUGACACUGGGAUAACUCAGGGAAACUUGAGCUAAUACCGGAUAUGCCGGUAGGAGGGCAUCCUCCAUCCGGGAAAGCUCCGGCGGUCAGGGAUGGGCCCGCGGCCCAUUAGCUUGUUGGUGGGGUAGUGGCCCAUCAAGGUAACGAUGGGUAGCCGAGCUGAGAGGCUGAUCGGCCACACUGGGACUAAGACACGGCCAAGACUCCUACGGGAGGCAGCAGUGGGGAAUCUUGCGCAAUGGGCGAAAGCCUGACGCAGCAACGCCGCGUGCGGGAUGAAGGUCUUCGGAUCGUAAACCGCUUUCAGCAGGGAUGAACGUGACAGUACCUGCAGAAGAAGCCCCGGCUAACUACGUGCCAGCCGCCGCGGUAAUAC
rnacentral:rRNA from 1 species